AUUGAACGCUGGCGGCAUGCUUUACACAUGCAAGUCGGACGGCAGCACAGAGACGCUUGCUUCUUGGGUGGCGAGUGGCGAACGGGUGAGUAAUAUAUCGGAACGUACCGAGUAAUGGGGGAUAACUAAUCGAAAGAUUAGCUAAUACCGCACAUUCUCUGAGGAGGAAAGCAGGGGACCUUCGGGCCUUGCGUUAUUCGAGCGGCCGAUAUCUGAUUAGCUAGUUGGUGGGGUAAAGGCCUACCAAGGCGACGAUCAGUAGCGGGUCUGAGAGGAUGAUCCGCCACACUGGGACUGAGACACGGCCCAGACUCCUACGGGAGGCAGCAGUGGGGAAUUUUGGACAAUGGGCGCAAGCCUGAUCCAGCCAUGCCGCGUGUCUGAAGAAGGCCUUCGGGUUGUAAAGGACUUUUGUCAGGGAAGAAAAGGCUGUUGCUAAUACCGACAGCUGAUGACGGUACCUGAAGAAUAAGCACCGGCUAACUACGUG
rnacentral:rRNA from 1 species